UCUAGGUGAAAUCUCUAUCUUUCAAAUCAAGAUCCACUAGUCCAAGUGUAGAAAUGAAAUCCAAAAACAACAGACUAUCCUUUAGACAUUGGGGCUGCCUCUUCUGUUGGGGAGAGUAAUCAUAUUCACUAACGUGCCCACCAUGUUUAGCCCAAAGAUAGUGCUCAUCUCAAAGAGACAGCUUGCUGCAUUCUUGGGAGUGCAAAUCUCAAAGGGUCUUGGGUCUAUUUGGAGACUCCA
rnacentral:lncRNA from 1 species